rnacentral:lncRNA from 1 species
GUCUACAGACUAAGACUAUGUGCACACGGUAACGUUUCCGAGCGUUUCUAAAACGUCGUUUCCAAUUUUGUCAGUUUGAUGCUCUGUCCACACGGAAACGUUUUCACGAGAUGCAAAUGUUUGUCUCGAUAAAAAUUCCAUCUCUAGCGGCUUGUUAUUACCAUUCAUUUUCCACCAGAUAAAGUCAUUACUUGUCAACGAG